UAUUCCAUUUGUCUACCUGUCUGU
rnacentral:misc_RNA from 1 species